GACGUGAGGGGUGAAGGGCUGGGGGAGCAAAGGGGAUAGAUACCCCCGUAGUCCCAGCAGUAAAGGAUGCGGGCUAGGUGCUGGACGUUCCUUCGGGGGCGUCCGGUGCCGUAGGGAAGCCGUUAAGCCCGCCGCCUGGGGAGUACGGCCGCAAGGCUGAAACUUAAACGAAUUGGCGGGGGAGCACCACAACGGGUGGGUCCUGCGGUUCAAUUGGAUUCAACGCCACACACCUUACCAAGGGCGACGGCUGAAUGAAGGCCAGGCUAAAGACCUUGCCGGACUAGCCGAGAGGUGGUGCAUGGCCGUCGUCAGCUCGUACCGUGAGGCGUCCUGUCAAGUCAGGCAACGAGCGAGACCCGCGCCCCCAGUUGCCAUCGGCGGGAGGCCGGGCACUCUGGGGGGACCGCUGGCGCUAAGCCAGAGGAAGGAGCGGGCGACGGUAGGUCAGUAUGCCCCGAAUCCCUUGGGCCACACGCGGGACACAAUGGGCGGGACAAUGGGUUGCGACCCCGUAAGGGGAAGCCAAUCCCCAAACCCGCCCUCAGUUCGGAUCGAGGGCUGCAACUCGCCCUCGUGAAGAUGGAAUCCGUAGUAAUCGCGGGUCACUACCCC
rnacentral:rRNA from 1 species